CCCUUAGAUGUCCGGGGCUGCACGCGCGCUACACUGUAGAAAGCAGCGUGCUUUAAAACCUUUCCUGAAAAGGAUGGGUAACCCCAGCAAAAUUCUACGUGCUUGGGAUAGAGAUUUGCAAUUUUCUCUCUUGAACGAGGAAUUCCCAGUAAGUGCGAGUCAUCAACUCGCGUUGAUUAUGUCCCUGCCCUUUGUACACACCGCCCGUCGCUACUACCGAUUGGGAAAAUUUUAGAGAGUCCUGGACUGAUGAUUGUUCGGCUUCACGGCCUUACUUUCGUCGGGAAAGAAUUCGAUAAUAUUUUUCUAGAGGAAGUAAAAGUCGUAACA
rnacentral:rRNA from 1 species